UCACAAAUAGCCAAUUAGGAAAAUGCACCAAAAUAGAAUAUUAAUUCGGUGGCAAGUGGAAAGUUCAAUUGAACAAGGCUGCCCCUAUCGUAGCAGUCUGCUGUGCACCAUCUCUAGCCAACAGUCAUAUCAGUGAACUGCAACCCAUGCUUAGCGCAUUUUAGGAUGCGUGGGACCUGCACAACACAAAGGGAUUUCUGCCACUCACUUAUCACGUCUCCAUUUACUCUGUUUUCUGCCCCAACACCUUUGACAUUUCCUGGAAUGUCAUCAUGCCACAAAGAACUAAAACCCUGGGUGAAAGGUGCCACACCCUGCUGCCACUUGGUCUGAGCAACCCUGGCUGCUAUUUAAAUAAUCAUGAUAAAUGGUUAAGUGGGCUCCUGAAGAACUUCUGUACAUAGUAACAACUAUACUGGUGAUAAUCAUAAUAUAUAUUAUGCGUCUUCAUAUUGAAAGGAUCAGAAUUUGACAUUUUAAAGAUCUUUCUCGUAUCCAACCAAGCUUCAAAUAGCUUCAGUUUAUUGAGAUUGUGUAAGAUAUAAGUGAGCCAAAAAUUAAUGAGAAUUUCCUCAAUAAAAUUUAUAGUGGAAUCAGAGUAGAUAUCAUGUCACAAAUAGCCAAUUAGGAAAAUGCACAAAAAUAGAAUAUUAAUUCGGUGGCUAGUGGAAAGUUCAAUUGAACAAGGCUGCCCCUAUGGUAGCAGCCUGCUGUGCACCAUCUCUAGCCAACAGUCAUAUCGGUGAACUGCAACCCAUGCUUAGUGCAUAUUAGGAUGUGUGGGUUCUGCACAACACAAAGGUAUUUCUGCCCCUCACUUAUCACGUCCCCAUUUACUCUGGUUUCUGCCCCAACACCUUGAUAUUUCCUGGAAUGUCAUCAUGCCACAAAGAGCUAAAGCCCUGGGUGAUAGGUGCUACACCAUGCUGCCACUUGGUCUGAGCAACCUUGGCUGCUAUUUAAAUAAUCACGAUAAAUGGUUAAGUGGGCUCCUGAAGACCUUCUGUACGUAAUAACAACUAUACUGGUGAUAAUCAUAAUCUAUAUUAUGCGUCUUCAUAUUGAAAGGAUCAGAAUUUGACAUUUUAAAGAUCUUUCUCAUAUCUGACCAAGCUUCGAAUAGCAUAGACAAUUGAUUUGAGAUUAUAUUCCAAACAAGUGCAACUUUGUUCAAAAAUUCCUUGGCAGAAGUGAUGUUUUAGUAAAGGCAUUUUGCUAAUCUUCAACAGCCCUUACUUUAAGAUGCAAUAAUCUGAGUUCUUCAGACAUUUGUCAUAGACUUUUUUUCUUUUCUCCAAUGUUGCUUAAUUAAAGUUCAGUUGGUUCUUAUAUUCUCUUAGGUAACUACUUUUUCCAAUUUUUUGUAUUGACCUAUUUUUGUAUUGUUAUUAUAAAGCUUUUCAAGGGCUUGGAAGCUUUUGAUCGCAAACCUCCGGAGAAGUCAAUAGUUCAAAGAGUCGCAGAUGCAUAUGAGAUGUUAGGCUUACUUGAAGAGAAAGAAAGGGUACUUGAAAAAUACAAAGAUAUUCCUACCAAGACAGAUAAAGUUCAUAAGAAAUCUAAGCAGGCUUCAUCAAAAAGAAAGAAGAAUUCUGGUUAGACUUACUCUCUCUUUCGCUUUCGAUAACCACUUCCAGAGUAGAAUUUUGUAUUUGUAAGGUCAGUCUUUUGUGCACCUGGAACUUGACCUCGGACAGUAUAGCAAAGAGUUUACUGCUGAAUAUGAGAAACUUUUAUUCUUUUAUUUCUCAAGUUCAAUAUUCUGCUGUCUGGAUUUGAUGGGAGACUCCUAUAUGUAUGCAUGGUACGAUAGUAAUGUGUUUUCUUUGACCCUGCUGGUUUUGGUGGUUUCCAGGGCG
rnacentral:lncRNA from 1 species